rnacentral:rRNA from 1 species
AGGGUUCGAUCCUGGCUCAGAACGUACGCUGGCGGCACGCCUAAUACAUGCAAGUCGAACGAAGUAGCAAUACUUAGUGGCAGACGGGUGAGUAACAUGUAGGUAUCUUCCCUUUGGUGGGGAAUAACACGAGGAAACUUGUGCUAAUACCUCAUAAGUCUUUACGGAGAAAGCUUUAUGCGCCAUUGGAUGAGCCUGCACUUGAUUAGUUUGUUGGUGGGGUAAUGGCCUACCAAGACAAUGAUCAAUAGCUGAUUUGAGAGGAUGAUCAGCCACAUUGGGACUGAGACACGGCCCAAACUCCUACGGGAGGCAGCAGUAGGGAAUCUUGCACAAUGGGGGAAACCCUGAUGCAGCGAUGCCGCGUGAGUGAAGAAGGCCUUUGGGUUGUAAAGCUCUUUCGUCGGGGAAGAAAAUGACUGUACCCGAAUAAGAAGGUCCGGCUAACUUCGUGCCAGCCGCCGCGGUAAUAC